UACGUAGGGGGCAAGCGUUGUCCGGAAUCAUUGGGCGUAAAGCGCGUGUAGGCGGCCCGAUAAGUCCGCUGUGAAAGUCCAGGGCUCAACCCUGGGAUGCCGGUGGAUACUGUCGGGCUCGAGUCCGGAAGAGGAGUGUGGAAUUCCUGGUGUAGCGGUGAAAUGCGUAGAUAUCAGGAGGAACACCAGCGGUGUAGACGGCUUUCUGGACCAUUGCUGACGCUGAGACACGAAAGCGUGGGUAGCAAACAGG
rnacentral:rRNA from 1 species